rnacentral:rRNA from 1 species
GGUUAAGUGAAUAAGGGCGCACGGUGGAUGCCUUGGCACUAGGAGCCGAUGAAGGACGGGACUAACACCGAUAUGCUUUGGGGAGCUGUACGUAAGCUAUGAUCCAGAGAUUUCCGAAUGGGGAAACCCAACAUCUUUUAUAGGAUGUUACGUUUGCGUGAAUACAUAGCGCAUUCGAGGUAGACGCAGAGAACUGAAACAUCUAAGUACCUGCAGGAAGAGAAAGAAAAUUCGAUUCCCUGAGUAGCGGCGAGCGAAACGGGAAAAGCCCAAACCAAUGAGCUUGCUCAUUGGGGUUGUAGGACUCCAAUAUGGUAGUUCUUUCAGAUAAUCGAAUGACUUGGAAAAGUCAGUCAAAGAGGGUAAAAACCCCGUAGAUGAAAUUUGGAAGGCACCUAGGAGGAUCCUGAGUACGGCGGAACACGAGGAAUUCCGUCGGAAUCCGGGAGGACCAUCUCCCAAGGCUAAAUACUCCCUAGUGACCGAUAGUGAACCAGUACCGUGAGGGAAAGGUGAAAAGCACCCCGGAAGGGGAGUGAAAUAGAAUCUGAAACCGUGUGCCUACAACAAGUCAAAGCCCGUUAAUGGGUGAUGGCGUGCCUUUUGUAGAAUGAACCGGCGAGUUACGAUUGCAUGCGAGGUUAAGUCGAAGAGACGGAGCCGUAGCGAAAGCGAGUCUGAAUAGGGCGUUUGAGUAUGUAGUCGUAGACCCGAAACCAUGUGAUCUACCCAUGUCCAGGUUGAAGGUGCGGUAAAACGCACUGGAGGACCGAACCCACGUACGUUGAAAAGUGCGGGGAUGAGGUGUGGGUAGCGGAGAAAUUCCAAACGAACUUGGAGAUAGCUGGUUCUCUCCGAAAUAGCUUUAGGGCUAGCCUCGGAUUUGAGAAUGAUGGAGGUAGAGCACUGUUUGGACUAGGGGCCCAUCUCGGGUUACCGAAUUCAGAUAAACUCCGAAUGCCAUUCAUUCAUAUCCGGGAGUCAGACUGUGAGUGAUAAGAUCCAUAGUCGAAAGGGAAACAGCCCAGACCACCAGCUAAGGUCCCAAAAUAUAUGUUAAGUGGAAAAGGAUGUGGGGUUGCACAGACAACUAGGAUGUUGGCUCAGAAGCAGCCACCAUUUAAAGAGUGCGUAAUAGCUCACUAGUCGAGUGACCCUGCGCCGAAAAUGUACCGGGGCUAAACAUAUUACCGAAGCUGUGGAGUACACCAUUAGGUGUAUUGGUAGGAGAGCGUUCUAAGGGCGUUGAAGGCAGAUCGUGAGGACUGCUGGAGCGCUUAGAAGUGAGAAUGCCGGUAUGAGUAGCGAAAGACAGGUGAGAAUCCUGUCCACCGAAUGACUAAGGUUUCCUGGGGAAGGCUCGUCCGCCCAGGGUUAGUCGGGACCUAAGCCGAGGCCGACAGGCGUAGGCGAUGGACAACAGGUUGAUAUUCCUGUACUCGUUGUUUUUGUUUGAGCAAUGGAGGGACGCAGGAGGCUAAGGAAUGCAGACGAUUGGAAAUGUCUGUCCAAGCAGUAAGUCUUGAUAGGAGUCAAAUGCUUCUGUCUACACGGAUAAGCUGUGAUGGGGAGGGAAAUAAUAGUACCGAAGUUCCUGAUGUCACACUGCCAAGAAAAGCUUCUAGUGAGAAAACAAUGACCCGUACCGCAAACCGACACAGGUAGUCGAGGAGAGAAUCCUAAGGUGAGCGAGAGAACUCUCGUUAAGGAACUCGGCAAAAUGACCCCGUAACUUCGGGAGAAGGGGUGCUGAUCUUUGAUCAGCCGCAGUGAAUAGGCCCAAGCGACUGUUUAUCAAAAACACAGGUCUCUGCAAAAUCGUAAGAUGAAGUAUAGGGGCUGACGCCUGCCCGGUGCUGGAAGGUUAAGAGGAGUGCUUAGCGUAAGCGAAGGUACGAAUUGAAGCCCCAGUAAACGGCGGCCGUAACUAUAACGGUCCUAAGGUAGCGAAAUUCCUUGUCGGGUAAGUUCCGACCCGCACGAAAGGCGUAACGAUUUGGGCACUGUCUCAACGAGAGACUCGGUGAAAUUUUAGUACCUGUGAAGAUGCAGGUUACCCGCGACAGGACGGAAAGACCCCAUGGAGCUUUACUGUAGUUUGAUAUUGAGUGUCUGUACCGCAUGUACAGGAUAGGUAGGAGCCGUAGAAAUCGGAACGCUAGUUUCGAUGGAGGCGCUGGUGGGAUACUACCCCUGCGUUAUGGCCACUCUAACCCGCACCACUGAUCGUGGUGGGAGACAGUGUCAGAUGGGCAGUUUGACUGGGGCGGUCGCCUCCUAAAAGGUAACGGAGGCGCCCAAAGGUUCCCUCAGAAUGGUUGGAAAUCAUUCGAAGAGUGUAAAGGCAGAAGGGAGCUUGACUGCGAGACCAACAAGUCGAGCAGGGACGAAAGUCGGGCUUAGUGAUCCGGUGGUUCCGCAUGGAAGGGCCAUCGCUCAACGGAUAAAAGCUACCCUGGGGAUAACAGGCUUAUCUCCCCCAAGAGUCCACAUCGACGGGGAGGUUUGGCACCUCGAUGUCGGCUCGUCGCAUCCUGGGGCUGUAGUCGGUCCCAAGGGUUGGGCUGUUCGCCCAUUAAAGCGGCACGCGAGCUGGGUUCAGAACGUCGUGAGACAGUUCGGUCCCUAUCCGUCGCGGGCGUUGGAAAUUUGAGAGGAGCUGUCCUUAGUACGAGAGGACCGGGAUGGACUUACCGCUGGUGUACCAGUUGUUCUGCCAAGGGCAUUGCUGGGUAGCUAUGUAGGGAAGGGAUAAACGCUGAAAGCAUCUAAGUGUGAAGCCCACCUCAAGAUGAGAUUUCCCAUUUCUUUAAGAAAGUAAGAUCCCUGAGAGAUGAUCAGGUAGAUAGGUCAGGAGUGGAAGGCCAGUGAUGGUUGGAGCGGACUGAUACUAAUCGAUCGAGGACUUAACCAA